UUGGAUUUAUAUUUUAAUUUUCCUCAUUCUGAUAAAUUUUUUGGCGGGAAAAAGACUAGUUAGAGGCGAGUGACAGGUGGCGCUUCAUUGCCACUUGAAACACAGAAGGAGGAGGUGCUGUCGGUCGUCUCUCUGACUUCACCGCCGAUGUUCGUACAAUAUAAUGAUGGAUCCAGUUACUGUUAAAGGCCACUGCUGCAUCAGUGGUCGUCAGCGUGGGUAGUACAGCACCUCCUUAUUCAUUGAGGAUGAUUUGAAGAUGGAGGAUGCAAGAAGUGACCAAGAGUUCCUCUGGAGACCUGACUCUUGCUGCACCAGAAACACAAGUCAGUAGGUUCUGGACCUUGUCAAGGAGAGGUGUGCCCUCUGCUGUACCACACAUCUUGCCUCACUUGUAUUGCUGUACCAGGCUUAUCUCCUCCAAUAUCAGGAUGGCAAGUGAUUCACAACACAAAUAAAGCAAGUGCCAAGAUACAGCCCAGACCCAGCCUUCCACCCCUCCUCUCUACCUCAGAAAUGUUUUUCUGAACACUAGUGCCAUGCUGCCCUAGACUGUGCUUACUGGACACUGCCCUGAACUUGCUUGCUGCUGCAGCCCUGGACUCCCCUGUGCUUGCUGCCCUGGACGGCUCUGCUCUGUGCUUGCUGACUGCUGUCCUGGACGGCUCUGCUCUGUGCAUGCUGCUCUCCUGGACGGCUCUGCACUGUGUGUGCCACUCCCCUGGACUGCUCUGCACUGUGUGUGCCGCUCCCCUGGACUGCUCUGCACUGUGUGCUGCUCCCCUGGACUGCUCUGCACUGUGUGCGCUGCUCCCCUGGACUGCUCUGCACUGUGUGUGCUGCUCCCCUGGACUGCUCUGCUCUGUGUGUGCUGCUCCCCUGGACUGCUCUGCUCUGUGUGUGCUGCUCCCCUGGACUGCUUUGCUCUGUGCUUGCUUCCCUGGACUGCAAAUUUAUAGAGCCAUUAAGUUUCCAUUAAUAAAUGUCUAAAUGUCA
rnacentral:lncRNA from 1 species